rnacentral:rRNA from 1 species
GAGUUUGAUCCUGGCUCAGAUUGAACGCUGGCGGCAUGCCUUACACAUGCAAGUCGAACGGUAACGCGGGGCAACCUGGCGACGAGUGGCGAACGGGUGAGUAAUGCAUCGGAACGUGCCCAGUAGUCGGGGGAUAGCCCGGCGAAAGCCGGAUUAAUACCGCAUACGACCUACGGGUGAAAGCGGGGGACCGCAAGGCCUCGCGCUAUUGGAGCGGCCGAUGUCAGAUUAGCUAGUUGGUCGGGGUAAAGGCCUACCAAGGCGACGAUCUGUAGCUGGUCUGAGAGGACGACCAGCCACACUGGGACUGAGACACGGCCCAGACUCCUACGGGAGGCAGCAGUGGGGAAUUUUGGACAAUGGGGGGCAACCCUGAUCCAGCCAUGCCGCGUGCGGGAAGAAGGCCUUCGGGUUGUAAACCGCUUUUGUCGGGGAAGAAACGGUCUGCGCUAAUACCGCGGGCUAAUGACGGUACCCGAAGAAUAAGCACCGGCUAACUACGUG